UGGGGAAUCUUGCGCAAUGGGGGCAACCCUGACGCAGCGACGCCGCGUGUGUGACGAAGGCCUUCGGGUCGUAAAGCACUGUCAGGUGGGAAGAAGGCGUCUGCGGCUAUGGUCGUAGGCGUUGACGGUACCGCCGAAGGAAGCACCGGCCAACUCCGUGCCAGCAGCCGCGGUAAGACGGAGGGUGCAAGCGUUGUUCGGAAUCAUUGGGCGUACAGGGCGCGCAGGUGGCCGAGCAAGUCCGAUGUGAAAACCCGGGGCUCAACUCCGGAGUGGCAUUGGAAACUGUUCGGCUUGAGUCCGGGAGGGGCCAGUGGAAUUCCUGGUGUAGGGGUGAAAUCCGUAGAGAUCAGGAGGAACACCGGCGGCGAAAGCGACUGGCUGGACCGGGACUGACGCUGAGGCGCGAAAGCGUGGGCAGCGAACA
rnacentral:rRNA from 1 species